UCGAGAAUCUUCGGCAAUGGGCGAAAGCCUGACCGAGCGAUGCCGCGUGCGGGAUGAAGGCCCUCGGGUUGUAAACCGCUGUCGUAGGGGAGAAAGGACCGUUGAAGAGACGGUUUUGAUCUAUCCUAGGAGGAAGUCCGGGCUAAGUUCGUGCCAGCAGCCGCGGUAACACGAACCGGACAAACGUUAUUCGGAAUUAUUGGGCUUAAAGGGUGCGUAGGCGGUGCGGUAAGUGAGGUGUGAAAGCCCUCGGCUCAACCGAGGAAUUGCGCUUCAUACUGCCGUGCUGGAGGGAGACAGGGGUAAGCGGAACUGAUGGUGGAGCGGUGAAAUGCGUUGAUAUCAUCAGGAACACCGGUGGCGAAAGCGGCUUACUGGGUCUUCUCUGACGCUGAGGCACGAAAGCUAGGGUAGCGAACGGG
rnacentral:rRNA from 1 species